rnacentral:snRNA from 13 species
GGUUUAAUUACCCAAGUUUGAGGCCAUCGAAAGAUUCCAAGUCAUUGGAAAGAGGCAGAGACGAUUCUCCUUUAUAAAGGAGGUGA